rfam:Firmicutes bacterium CAG:272 genomic scaffold, scf54
UUAAUGAUACUUCUCUACGGAGGCGGCGGAGGACCCGGCGCGGGUGAGAUUCCCAUGG